GACAGAGGGUGCAAACGUUGUUCGGAAUUACUGGCGUAAGCGAGUGUAGGCGGUCUGAAAAGUCGGGUGUGAAAGCCCCGGGCUCAACCCGGGAAGUGCACUCGAAACUGCCAGGCUAGAGUAUCGGAGAGGUUGGUGGAAUUCUCGGUGUAGAGGGUGAAAUUCGUAGAUAUCGAGAGGAACAACCGGUGGCGAAGGCGGCCAACUGGACGAAUACUGACGCUGAGACUCGAAAGCGUGGGAGCAAACAGG
rnacentral:rRNA from 1 species